GCCAGCCCGCUCAGAAACUUAAAGGAAGUUGACGGGGCCCGCACAAGCGGAGGAACAUGUGGUUUAAUUCGAUGAUACGCGAGGAACCUUACCCGGGCUUGAAAUGCAUCUGACCGGCCUUGAAAGAGGUUUUCCCUUCGGGGCAGAUGUGUAGGUGCUGCAUGGUUGUCGUCAGCUCGUGCCGUGAGGUGUCGGCUUAAGUGCCAUAACGAGCGCAACCUCAUCAUAGUUACCAUCAGGUAAGGCUGGGGACUCUAAUGAGACUGCCAUCGUAAGAUGUGAGGAAGGUGGGGAUGACGUCAAAUCAGCACGGCCCUUACGUCCGGGGCGACACACGUGUUACAAUGGGUGGUACAAAGGGCAGCUACCUGGCGACAGGAUGCUAAUCUCCAAAACCACUCUCAGUUCGGAUCGGAGUCUGCAACUCGACUCCGUGAAGCUGGAUUCGCUAGUAAUCGCGCACCAGCCAUGGCGCGGUGAAUACGUUCCCGGGCCUU
rnacentral:rRNA from 1 species